rnacentral:lncRNA from 1 species
UUCAUUAACUUCAUUUAAUAACAGUUUUAAUGAUUUUAUCGAAUCGAUUCCACCAGAAACUAACUUCUUUAGUAGUGACAUUGAUGGCAAUGGGAGUUGUUUCAAAAGAAGGGAAUAAGCCUGAAAUGAUGAAUAUCUUUGUAUAAGUGCAAAACGUAAUACUUGUGAAGAAUAUGGAGGACGACCUUUUCUGUUAACAAAUUUCAUCCAUUUUUCUUCUAAAAUAUUAUCUUUAGGGAAACUAAGAACAGCUUUACUUGCACUAAGAGAACUAGAUUCAUUUUUUUUAGAUUUAUAGCCAGUUCGACAAUUAAAAUCAGCACAUUUGUUCACCAUUAUAUCCAAAACUAAAUUUCCAACUUAAUCAAUAUCUCUCAAAAUAAAAUUUAAACAAUAUUAACUGGCAGUAUGAAAAAUAACCGAAAUGCUAAAAACUGGCCUUCUAAUUUUCGGCCUAUUUAUGCAAGAUAUAUAAAACGAAUCGGCCGUGUAUAAAGUAGUCUUGUCUUUUUUUCAGGCAGUUCAUCCAAAGUCAGUUAGCAUUUAUAAUGCACACAAAAAUUCAUAGUAUUGAUAGAAAAGCGAUUUGAAUAAUGCUGGUCUUUACAGGAUAGGUAUCCUUGCAAAACUGUUUUGUCGUAGAAUUGGUGAUCAACUAACUGCGAUUUCAACUACUAGAAAACAACAAUUAAAUAAGCUUCAGUGAUUAAAACUGCAUUUGAUUAAUGAACUCUAUGAAAGCAAUUUUCGUAAAUGAAAAAAAAAUUUGCUGAAUGAAAAGCAUUUAGUAAACUUGCAUUUGUGUAUUCAGCUUUUUUGGUGAAGUUUUGUUUUGAAAACGAUGAAAAGCGUUAAAAGGAAGCUAAAACUAUUAGUUUGAGAGUUCUAUUAUUUUAAUUACAUAUUUACUAUGAGUUUUGUUUUGAUUGUAUUAUAUUAAGCGGGUUUACAAUGUUUUUCGGA